rnacentral:rRNA from 1 species
GAUGAACGCUGGCGGCGUGCCUAAUACAUGCAAGUCGAGCGAACAGACGAGGAGCUUGCUCCUUCGACGUUAGCGGCGGACGGGUGAGUAACACGUAGGUAACCUACCUAUAAGACUGGGAUAACUUCGGGAAACCGGAGCUAAUACCGGAUAAUAUUUCGAACCGCAUGGUUCGAUAGUGAAAGAUGGCUUUGCUAUCACUUAUAGAUGGACCUGCGCCGUAUUAGCUAGUUGGUAAGGUAACGGCUUACCAAGGCAACGAUACGUAGCCGACCUGAGAGGGUGAUCGGCCACACUGGAACUGAGACACGGUCCAGACUCCUACGGGAGGCAGCAGUAGGGAAUCUUCCGCAAUGGGCGAAAGCCUGACGGAGCAACGCCGCGUGAGUGAUGAAGGUCUUCGGAUCGUAAAACUCUGUUAUUAGGGAAGAACAAACGUGUAAGUAACUGUGCACGUCUUGACGGUACCUAAUCAGAAAGCCACGGCUAACUACGUGC